CCUCACUUUCUCACUCAAACAACCAAAAACGACGUCGUAGCAAUAAAGUCGUUCAACUAAACGACCUCGUAGCAAUAAACGCGUUCAACUAAACGACCUAACAGCAAUAGCUAGAGGGGUACUCUAUUAUUCCACUAUACCAUCUGAUAGUAAGGGUUUAUGACGGUGGCGCACAACGGUCCUCUUUCCUACCACCAAUCAAACCGUUGUCAACCACGAACGGGGAUGCCAGUGUAUGGAUUCGCGUCACAUUCUAACUAAGCUCAAUGAUCCUCCGACGGGAUGAACAACAGUUGGAUGCUAAUAGAACCAAAUGAACAUCCGAAAAUCUCCGACGUAUGCAGUCGUGUUCUCCACCAGUUCAACCUUUGCGGUUCGUGUCCUAACGACAUCCUCCUUUCUAUAACCCUCUGUUCACCAUCAUCUGUUUAUUUUGAUGCUAAUAGUUGGGUUGCGGAAUGGGAUAAUCGGCGUCUAAAAGAGGGAAUCGACCAUUUCCAUGUCUCCGACGUAGGCGAUGACGACAUGUAGUCGUUUCCAUGUGACUGGAGGUGCGCUUCCUCCCUUGUCGGCUUUCUCUAUGUGAUUUGGACCAUUUGGUAGCUGUCGUGUGUGGUGAAAAAUGAAAUCAAAAGGAAACUGUACUUCUUUGUGAAUCACCCAGAUCUAGAAAUGGCAAUUUUGUAAAUAAAACCUUGAAUUUGGCCAAUGAUUAUACUGUUCAUAAGCAUCGACAAGAAUUGUUAUUAUAGAUAAUUAGUGGUGAUAUAAAUUAUUAAUUAAUUAGUAGUGAAUUAAGUAACGUAAGUGUGAUUGUAAAUGUGGAGUAGAAACGGUCACUGGUCCCAACAAACGAAACCGUCGCCAAAUAUGAAAGCUUCCAUGUCUAUGAUUCGAUAUACCGAUUAAAUAUUCCUCAAACACUUGAACCGGCUGAUGAAUGUUGGGAUCGCUACUUCAUUCCUCUCUCGUUAAUUAUGUCUGUGUUUGCUAAAAAAAAUGUCGCGCCACGCCACCAAGCAAUCACCGCCAACGCCGCCUGUAAUAUCGAACCGGUGUCACAGACCACCAAUCCUCUCUUCCACUCUCCGUUCUAGUCUGGAGACGCGCGGCGUAAAAUGGCAACACCGUCUUGUCUUUGGUCUCUGAUCUUGAUGCCAAGGUUGAUGGAUUAUGUGCUGAAAUCGGAUAGGAAGUCUAGAAACCCACCAAAUAAAAUCUGAGUUGUCGGAAUGGAACUUGUUUUUGAGACUGAAUAUUUGUAACGAUUGUUAUGCUUUAUUUGUUUAGUAGUAUGGGAUAUUGAACCUUAAAA